AUUGAACGCUGGCGGCAGGCUUAACACAUGCAAGUCGAGCGAGCGGCGGACGGGUGAGUAAUGUCUGGGAAACUGCCUGAUGGAGGGGGAUAACUACUGGAAACGGUAGCUAAUACCGCAUACCAUCAGAUGUGCCCAGAUGGGAUUAGCUAGUAGGUGGGGUAAUGGCUCACCUAGGCGACGAUCCCUAGCUGGUCUGAGCGGAUGACCAGCAACACGGGAACUGGAACACGGUCCAGACCCCUACGGGAGGCAGCGGGGGGAAAUAUUGAACAAGGGGCGAAAGCGUGUUGCAGCCAUGCCGCGUGUGUGAAGAGGGCCUUGGGGUUGAAAAGCAUUUUCAGCGAGGAGGCGUUACUCGCAGAAGAAGCACCGGCUAACUCCGUGCAAGCAGCCGCGGUAAUU
rnacentral:rRNA from 1 species